GGUCUCUUGGCCCAAUGGCAAGGCGUCUGACUACGACUUCAUUGUUCCAAUCAGGAGAUUCUGGGUUCGAUCCCCAGGGAGAUCA